CAAAGAAGGCUCCCCCAGUUUCCUUUCAAGCAACAUUAAAGUGGAUCUAGUCUGCUUUUCUUUAUGGUCAAUGGCGGACACUCGUAAUAAACAUGGCUAAAGUUUCAAAUGAUGACCUCAGAGUUUGUACGAGGAGUCUCUGUGAGCGCCAAAGCUCUAAACACCCAGUUGCAGAUAGCUUUUUUUAAAUCCUCUUGGCUGUUAAUGUUAAUUUUUAAUUUAAGAUACAUCUUCAAAUACCUGCCCUGAGCCAGUUCAAGAUUAAUUUUUAAAAGAGGCAUGCUUUUAGAAAACUCUGAACGGCCCCAAUAAAGCCCUAAAAGCCCUUCAGUGCUGCAGCUGUGCAGUUUUAAAGCCUCCAGCAGUGACCUGUGAGUCAGUCUGGGAAUUUUAUGAGCAACACUUGGUGCCCUAAUAAACUGAUAAACUGCAACUUCCAGUCUUCUGGAUUUCGAAACACACAUGAGGAGGAGUUUGGAACCAGAUGCUUUUAAUGGAAAACAACCCAACCAUCAAAUAUAUAAUGCACUAAUCACAGAUGCAUGUACAGAUUCUGUAAAGUGAAGGCGUUUAAUUACAGGGUUAAUCCCACUUUAAAGGCAACGAGACAUAAACGCCUUCACGUCUUUACUUGGUGAUCGUGCCCACAAGUUUCAGCUCUAUAAACACUCCAAAGUGGGAACAGAAGUGAGCAAAAAUAGGGAGAAGCACCCAAAAACUGAAGGGAACAAAAUGUUUUCCAUCUCAGCAGCCAGGAAAACGUCCAGAUCUACAGGGCUCCCUCCCCCGCUCGUCUUUUCUUCGCUCUGUCUUCAUCCAUCCCUCAGCUCGCUCAGCACCGCUCAGGCCGAGAUUAAAAAAAACAUGUGCUGACAGGACAAAAGCCUGGUUUCACUUCGCUUCCAUUCACUGCGUUUUCCAGUCGUGGGUGGAUAUGCAAUCAUGUCGAGGCCAAACAGUGUCACCUAACACACUCUUUCACUGCAAGCAGCAACAGUGGAGGACCCAAACUAAGAAAAAUUAAAGAGUAAAUGUAUUCAUUGAAUAUUCAUUGGCAGCGCCUCGUGAUCGGGAUUUGGAUAUUAAAUGUUAAGAAAUAUUUUUUACUUAUUGAUACAUUUAGUUCUGAAUAAAUAACAAUAUAAAAGGAAAAUUAGAAAUAGAGUAGAAAAUGCAAUUUCUGGGGCAACUGCUGUGUGAUGGUUGCUUGUAAAUGUGUAAGAAGUUGCAGUUAAUGUUCAUACUAUAAAAAGUUUGAAAAACUUGCUGAAAACAUGCUGAAAAAUUCCUAUAACUAGCCUAGCUAAGGGCUUUUAUUUUGAAAUAUUUUUGUUUAUUUUGUGUUUAUACUGUAAAAUCAACUCGGGGAUUCACUGAACAUUUAAGACAGUAACUAAGGCUUUUAUUUUGAACAUUACACACAGUGUAUUAAUUUUCCAUUAGGAAAAGCAGGAUUUUUCUAGUUUUCAAGCUCGGUGGGUUACCUAGUCCUCUCUGGCUCUCCAGUUCACUUUAAUAGGGAGAGAUUUAGGGGUGGUUUUCUUGUGCAACAAAUUAUUAAAUUAUUGAAAAACAGUAAAACACUUUUGGAAAAAGCAAACACCGAGCUGGAAUCUGAAGGGUGUGUUUGUCUGUGUGGGAUCACACGGACGUUGCGGAAAAAGAAAACAUGAUAAUAAAGAAUUCAGCUGACGAGAACACACAGCUUUGAAGAGCACCAGCAAAUAAAUACUUAAUCAUAAAUAAACAAAGAAUGGCAUGGCAUUUAAUACAAGGCCCAAUCAUUUAAACACACAUGUCAACAUUCUGUUAUUAUUAUUAUUUUAGUGCAUUGUUGACAGAUAAAACUAAUAAAAACUAAUAAAGUUGUUUCUUUAUUUAUUUACUUAUUUUGGCACCUUGGGUCCUCCGUAAUAAAAUGCUACAGGCUUUAAUAACUACCUAAAACAAAGUGACCUCUUUCAGUGUGCUGACUCGGGCCAAUAAAUGAUCAAAGCGCAGAACAAAAAGAACAUAACACAGGACACCAGCUGAGCACGGCUUCAAAAAUAACUUCUGCAGCUGACAGACACCUUUACACAGCACAUAGUACCACACACUCACACAGACACACACGGUCAGCAUAAUCACACUCAUUACGGUAAUACAUGUUUGAUCACGCUGACAGAAAUGUUGCACAACUCUUCACAUUGUGGGUUAUUAUUCCUUACAGGGGCCUCCGCAUCCUCUAAAAUAAGCAGACUUGAUUGUGAAAUUCUGGGCCGAUGCUGAUGUUUAAAAUUACGACUUUGCCAGUAUUGUUUUAGUCUUUAUGUUUAUUUUUUCUGUUUUCAGCAGAAUAAACUAAAAACAAACAAACAAAACCUGCUCAGACAAAAGAUCAGACCUCACCUAAUACUGCUGCUAAACAUCUAUGGGAGGAAUAUGGAGUGAAAGAAAAUCAAAUGAAGGUGAUCAAUGAAUAAUAAUAAUAAUAAUAAUAAUAAUAAUAAUAAUAAUAAUAAUAAUAAUAAUGAUAAUCAUAACAACUCCGAGUCAAAAGAAAUGAAAUAAAGUUGGUCUGUGGGUGAAAGGACAUCUUUUACAUUCACCGCCUGAUCUGAAUACCUCCUCCCUGCUUUGGUUUAAAGUGAACACAAACAUGUCGGUCCUUUAUUCAGACAGUAGCACAUAAUGUUCCAGCGGGACACUCGGGCACACCCACACUGUUUGUAUCAGGCGCUAAUCCACCUGGAA